rfam:Gossypium hirsutum cultivar TM-1 chromosome 9, whole genome shotgun sequence
UGUUAAAAAUUCUAUUCAUUUGUACUAUAAAAAAUUAGCGUUGGUGAUAGAAUGACCAGAUAUUGACACAGGACGUGCCACAUGUAUUUCAUGCUGAUGUAUAUGGAUCAAUUUUAAAUGGUAAAAAUGAAUGAAAUUUUAACA